rnacentral:rRNA from 1 species
CCAAUUUUCUGCCACCGAAUACAUUAGCAUGGGAUAAUGGAAUAGGACCCUGUCCUCCUAUUUUCAGUUGGUUUUGGCAGCGCGAGGACUAGGGUAAUGAUUAAUAGGGAUAGUUGGGGGCAUUAAUAUUUAAUUGUCAGAGGUGAAAUUCUUGGAUUUAUGAAAGAUUAACUUCUGCGAAAGCAUCUGCCAAGGAUGUUUUCAUUAAUCAAGAACGAAAGUUAGGGGAUCGAAGACGAUCAGAUACCGUCGUAGUCUUAACCAUAAACGAUGCCGACCAGCGAUUAGGAGACGUUGAAUACAAAACACCACCAUCGGUGCGGUCGUCCUUGGCGUCGGUCUUUCGGGGCCGGCGCGGGGACGGCUUAGCCCGGUGGCACCGGUGAAUGACUCCC